UACGGAGGGUGCGAGCGUUGUCCGGAAUCACUGGGCGUAAAGGGCGCGUAGGCGGCAUGCCAAGCGUGUGGUGAAAGCCCGGGGCUCAACCCCGGGUCGGCCGUGCGGACUGGCGUGCUCGAGCACUGUAGGGGCGGGUGGAAUUCCGGGUGUAGCGGUGGAAUGCGUAGAGAUCCGGAAGAACACCGGUGGCGAAGGCGGCCCGCUGGGCAGGAAGGCUCGCAAGAGCCGGCUGACGCUGAGACCCGAAAGCCAGGGUAGCGAACCGG
rnacentral:rRNA from 1 species